CCUACGGGUGGCUGCAGUGAGGAAUAUUGGUCAAUGGCCGAGAGCCUGAACCAGCCAAGUCGCGUGAGGGAUGAAGGUUCUAUGGAUUGUAAACCUCUUUUGUCGGGGAACAAAGAGCGGGACGUGUCCCGUUUUGUGUGUACCUGAUGAAUAAGCAUCGGCUAACUCCGUGCCAGCAGCCGCGGUAAUACGGAGGAUGCGAGCGUUAUCCGGAUUUAUUGGGUUUAAAGGGUGCGCAGGCGGCCGUUUAAGUCAGCGGUGAAAGUGUGGGGCUCAACCCUCGAAUGGCCGUUGAAAUUGGAAGGCUUGAGUAUGGUAGAGGCAGGCGGAAUGCGUGGUGUAGCGGGGAAAUGCUUAGAUAGCACGCAGAACCCCGAUUGCGAAGGCAGCAUGCCAAGCCAUGACUGACGCUGAUGCACGAAAGCGUGGGGAUCAAACAGGAUUAGAUACCCUUGUAGUC
rnacentral:rRNA from 1 species